UCGCUUCACCUGGACUCUUAGCCAAUCACAAGUUGACUCAGGAUCGCUGCACGCUGGUUGCAUUCUGUCCGAGACUUUUGCCAGUAGUGCACGCUAACUGCACGGACUUAAAACCCGUUUUGAUACAACUGCUUUAUCCUGUGUGGGUCUUUACAAUGGGAGAUUCAAGCAACAUAUCCUCUGAUGCAGAUGUCACAAACACCGUUGCUGAUGCAGGAGUGUCUGAAGAUCCAGGCAUACAUGAUGGACAACAGAAUGAUGCUGACAGAAUUGCAUAGAGCUGAACAGAGCCAAGUGGCUCAAGAGGCUGCCUGUUUCGAAUGAAUAUUGAAGGCACCACAGGAGGCUGAGGUCUGGUGUCCUGGGGAGAAGGCUGCGGGCAAAAAUACAAACUUGCCAUCUACACCAAAGUGUCCAGCUAUUUGGACUGGAUAGAUAAUGUUCGUCAGAGGUAGGAUAAAGUUUAGACCCCUACCUUUCUAUCCUGUUUGCCUCACAUAAAAUAUAAAUCAGAAAAAAAC